rnacentral:rRNA from 1 species
ACGAACGCUGGCGGCAGGCCUAACACAUGCAAGUCGAACGCUCGGGCAACCGGGAGUGGCAGACGGGUGCGUAACACGUGGGAACAUACCCUUUGGUUCGGAAUAACUCAGGGAAACUUGAGCUAAUACCGGAUAAGCCCGAGAGGGGAAAGAUUUAUCGCCGAAGGAUUGGCCCGCGUCUGAUUAGCUAGUUGGUGAGGUAAUGGCUCACCAAGGCGACGAUCAGUAGCUGGUCUGAGAGGAUGAUCAGCCACACUGGGACUGAGACACGGCCCAGACUCCUACGGGAGGCAGCAGUGGGGAAUAUUGGACAAUGGGCGAAAGCCUGAUCCAGCCAUACCGCGUGAGUGAUGAAGGCCUUAGGGUUGUAAAGCCCUUUUACCCGGGAACAUAAUGACGGUUCCGUGAUAAUUAGCCCCGGUUAACUUUCUGCCAGCACCCGCGGUAAUACCAAGGGGGCUAGGGCUGUUCGGACUUACUGGGCGUAAAGCGCACGUAGGCGGAUCUUUCAGUCAGAGGUGAAAUCCCAGGGCUCAACCCUGGAACUGCCUUUGAUACUGGGGAUCUCGAGUCCCGGAGAGGUGAGUGGAACUGCUAGUGCACAGGUGAAAUUCCCAGAUAUUCCCAAGAACACCACUGGCGAAAAGCGGCUCACUGGCCCGGAACUGACGCUGAGGUGCGAAAGCGUGGGGGAGCAAACAGGAUUAGAUACCCUGGUAGUCCACGCCGCAAACGAUGGAUGCUAGCCGUUA